UGCGGAGGGAUCAUUACAGAGUUAUCCAACUCCCAAACCCAUGUGAACUUAUCUCUUUGUUGCCUCGGCGCAAGCUACCCGGGACCUCGCGCCCCGGGCGGCCCGCCGGCGGACAAACCAAAACUCUUGUUAUCUUAGUUGAUUAUCUGAGUGUCUUAUUUAAUAAGUCAAAACUUUCAACAACGGAUCUCUUGGUUCUGGCAUCGAUGAAGAACGCAGCGAAAUGCGAUAAGUAAUGUGAAUUGCAGAAUUCAGUGAAUCAUCGAAUCUUUGAACGCACAUUGCGCCCAUUAGUAUUCUAGUGGGCAUGCCUGUUCGAGCGUCAUUUCAACCCCUAAGCACAGCUUAUUGUUGGGAACCUACGGCUUCGUAGUUCCUCAAAGACAUUGGCGGAGUGGCAGUGGUCCUCUGAGCGUAGUAAUCUUUUAUCUCGCUUCUGUUAGGUGCUGCCCCCCCGGCCGUAAAACCCCCAAUUUUUUCUGGUUGACCUCGGAUCAGGUAGGAAUACCCGCUGAACUUAAGCAUAU
rnacentral:rRNA from 1 species